rnacentral:rRNA from 1 species
GAUGAACGCUGGCGGCGUGCCUAAUACAUGCAAGUCGAGCGAAUGGAUUAAGAGCUUGCUCUUAUGAAGUUAGCGGUGGACGGGUGAGUAACACGUGGGUAACCUGCACAUAAGACUGGGAUAACUCCGGGAAACCGGGGCUAAUACCGGAUAACAUUUUGAACCGCAUGGUUCGAAAUUGAAAGGCGGCUUCGGCUGUCACUUAUGGAUUGACCCGCGUCGCAUUAGCUAGUUGGUGAGGUAACGGCUCACCAAGGCAACGAUGCGUAGCCGACCUGAGAGGGUAAUCGGCCACACUGGGACUAAGACACGGCCCAGACUCCUACGGGAGGCAGCAGUAGGGAAUCUUCCGCAAUGGACGAAAGUCUGACGGAGCAACGCCGCGUGAGUGAUGAAGGCUUUCGGGUCGUAAAACUCUGUUGUUAGGGAAGAACAAGUGCUAGCUGAAUAAGCUGGCACCUUGACGGUACCUAACCAGAAAGCCACGGCUAACUACGUGCCAGCAGCCGCAGUAA